rnacentral:piRNA from 1 species
UAUUAAUGUACGGAUUAGAGAGGA